rnacentral:rRNA from 1 species
CAAUAGCGUAUAUUAAAGUUGUUGCGGUUAAAAAGCUCGUAGUUGGAUUUCUGCUGAGAACGACCGGUCCGCCCUUUGGGUGUGUAUCUGGCUCUUUCUUGGCAUCUUCUUGGUGAACGUUGCUGCACUUGACUGUGUGGAGCGCUACCCAGGACUUUUACUUUGAGGAAAUUAGAGUGUUUCAAGCAGGCAUACGCCUUGAAUACAUUAGCAUGGAAUAAUAAGAUAGGACCUCGGUUCUAUUUUGUUGGUUUCUAGAGUCGCCGUAAUGAUUAAUAGGGAUAGUUGGGGGCAUUAGUAUUCAGUUGCUAGAGGUGAAAUUCUUGGAUUUACUGAAGACUAACUACUGCGAAAGCAUUUGCCAAGGAUGUUUUCAUUAA